rnacentral:rRNA from 1 species
AUUGAACGCUGGCGGCAGGCUUAACACAUGCAAGUCGAACGAGUGGCGGACGGGUGCGUAAUGCUUGGGAAUCUAGCUUAUGGAGGGGGAUAACUACGGGUAACUGUAGCUAAUACCGCGUACCAUAGGAUGAGCCCAAGUGGGAUUAGGUAGUUGGUGAGGUAAAGGCUCACCAAGCCGACGAUCUCUAGCGGGUGGGAGAGGAUGACCAGCCACACUGGGACUGAGUCACGGCCCAGACUCCGUGGGGAGGCAGCAGUGGGGAAUAUUGCGCAAUGGGGGCAACCUGACGCAGCCAUGCCGCGUGAAUGAAGAAGGCCUUCGGGUUGUAAAGUUCUUUCGGUAGCGCGGCGUUAACUACAGAAGAAGCACCGGCUAACUCCGUGCCAGCAGCCGCGGUAAUUC